AACGAACGCUGGCGGCAUGCCUAACACAUGCAAGUCGAACGAAACCUCCGGGUCUAGUGGCGCACGGGUGCGUAACGCGUGGGAAUCUUCCCUUGGGUUCGGCAUAACAGUGAGAAAUUACUGCUAAUACCGGAUGAUAUCUUCGGACCAAAGAUUUAUCGCCCAGGGUUGAGCCAGCGUAGGAUUAGCUAGUUGGUGGGGUAAUAGCCUACCAAGGCGCCGAUCCUUAGCUGGUCUGAGAGGAUGCUUAGCCACACUGGGACUGAGAAACGGCCCAGACUCUUACGGGAGGCAGCAGUGGGGAAUAGUGCACAGUCGGCGCAAGGCUGAACCAGCUAGGCCGGGUGAGUGAUGAUGGCCUGAGGGAUGUAAAGCGCUUGUAACCGGGAUGAUAAUGACGGUACCGGGAGAAUAAGCUCCGGCUAACUCCGUG
rnacentral:rRNA from 1 species